rnacentral:rRNA from 1 species
UACGUAGGGCGCAAGCGUUGUCCGGAAUUACUGGGCGUAAAGAGCUCGUAGGUGGUUUGUCGCGUUGUUCGUGAAAACUCACAGCUCAACUGUGGGCGUGCGGGCGAUACGGGCAGACUAGAGUACUGCAGGGGAGACUGGAAUUCCUGGUGUAGCGGUGGAAUGCGCAGAUAUCAGGAGGAACACCGGUGGCGAAGGCGGGUCUCUGGGCAGUAACUGACGCUGAGGAGCGAAAGCAUGGGGAGCGAACAGG